rnacentral:rRNA from 1 species
CAGCCUGAUGCAGCGACGCCGCGUGAGGGAUGACGGCCUUCGGGUUGUAAACCUCUUUCAGCACAGACGAAGCGCAAGUGACGGUAUGUGCAGAAGAAGGACCGGCCAACUACGUGCCAGCAGCCGCGGUAAUACGUAGGGUCCGAGCGUUGUCCGGAAUUACUGGGCGUAAAGAGCUCGUAGGUGGUUUGUCGCGUUGUUCGUGAAAACUCACAGCUUAACUGUGGGCGUGCGGGCGAUACGGGCAGACUUGAGUACUGCAGGGGAGACUGGAAUUCCUGGUGUAGCGGUGGAAUGCGCAGAUAUCAGGAGGAACACCGGUGGCGAAGGCGGGUCUCUGGGCAGUAACUGACGCUGAGGAGCGAAAGCGUGGGGAGCGAACAGGAUUAGAUACCCUGGUAGUCCACGCCGUAAACGGUGGGUACUAGGUGUGGGUUUCCUUCCUUGGGAUCCGUGCCGUAGCUAACGCAUUAAGUACCCCGCCUGGGGAGUACGGCCGCAAGGCUAAAACUCAAAGAAAUUGACGGGGGCCCGCACAAGCGGCGGAGCAUGUGGAUUAAUUCGAUGCAACGCGAAGAACCUUACCUGGGUUUGACAUGCACAGGACGCUGGUAGAGAUAUCAGUUCCCUUGUGG